rnacentral:rRNA from 1 species
GUGGGGAAUUUUGGACAAUGGGCGCAAGCCUGAUCCAGCCAUUCCGCGUGCAGGAUGAAGGCCUUCGGGUUGUAAACUGCUUUUGUACGGAACGAAACGGUUCUCUCUAAUACAGGGGGCUAAUGACGGUACCGUAAGAAUAAGCACCGGCUAACUACGUGCCAGCAGCCGCGGUAAUACGUAGGGUGCAAGCGUUAAUCGGAAUUACUGGGCGUAAAGCGUGCGCAGGCGGUUUUGUAAGACAGAGGUGAAAUCCCCGGGCUCAACCUGGGAACUGCCUUUGUGACUGCAAGGCUGGAGUACGGCAGAGGGGGAUGGAAUUCCGCGUGUAGCAGUGAAAUGCGUAGAUAUGCGGAGGAACACCGAUGGCGAAGGCAAUCCCCUGGGCCUGUACUGACGCUCAUGCACGAAAGCGUGGGGAGCAAACAGGAUUAGAAACCCGAGUAGUCC